GCCCCAUUUGUCUAAUGGUUAUGACGUCAGACUUCUAAUCUGGAGGUUGCGGGUUCGAGUCCCGCAUGGGGUU
rnacentral:tRNA from 1 species